UCGACGAAGUAGCAAUACUUAGUGGCAGACGGGUGAGUAACAUGUGGGUAUCUGCCCUUUGGCCUGGAAUAACACGAGGAAACUUGUGCUAAUACCGGAUAAGUCUUUACGGAGAAAGCUUUAUGCACCAUUGGAUGAGCCCGCACUUGAUUAGUUUGUUGGUGGGGUAAUGGCCUACCAAGACUGUGAUCAAUAGCUGAUUUGAGAGGAUGAUCAGCCACAUUGGGACUGAGACACGGCCCAAACUCCUACGGGAGGCAGCAGUGGGGAAUCUUGCACAAUGGAGGAAACUCUGAUGCAGCGAUGCCGCGUGAGUGAAGAAGGCCUUUGGGUUGUAAAGCUCUUUCGUCGGGGAAGAAAAUGACUGUACCCGAAUAAGAAGGUCCGGCUAACUUCGUGCCAGCAGCCGCGGUAAUACGAAGGGACCUAGCGUAGUUCGGAAUUACUGGGCUUAAAGAGUUCGUAGGUGGUUGAAAAAGUUGGUGGUGAAAUCCCAGAGCUUAACUCUGGAACUGCCAUCAAAACUUUUCAGCUAGAGUAUGAUAGAGGAAAGCAGAAUUUCUAGUGUAGAGGUGAAAUUCGUAGAUAUUAGAAAGAAUACCAAUUGCGAAGGCAGCUUUCUGGAUCAUUACUGACGCUGAGGAACGAAAGCAUGGGUAGCGAAGAGGAUUAGAUACCCUCGUAGUCCAUGCCGUAAACGAUGUGUGCUAGACGUUGGAAAUUUAUUUUCAGUGUCGCAGCGAAAGCGAUAAACACACCGC
rnacentral:rRNA from 1 species